GCAAGUCGAACGAGAAUUAUGACUUCGGUCAUAUUGAUGGUGACGCACGGGUGCGUAACGCGUAUGCAACCUAUCCUUAACUGGGGGAUAGCCCGGAGAAAUUCGGAUUAAUACCCCAUAGUAUCCAAAGAUGGCAUCUGAAUUGGAUUAAAGAUUUAUUGGUUAAGGAUGGGCAUGCGUGACAUUAGUUAGUUGGUAAGGUAAUGGCUUACCAAGACAUCGAUGUCUAGGGGUUCUGAGAGGAUGAUC
rnacentral:rRNA from 1 species